ensembl:lncRNA
UUUAUCUAAUGUUCGGCUGUAGGUGAGUGCUGCGGAUGAACAGGUGAGGAGUGUGCCUUCGAGGCUCAGAGACCUGGCUGACGGCCUAAUGCUGGGAGGCACGAGGAAGAAAUGGACAGCAGAGAGGGCGUUGGUGAAGUGUUAUGAAGAGCACACCCAUUGUCUCAUUCCAUAUAAGUUAAUAAGUCCCUUUCCAUCCUCUGAAAUGGCAGUGAAGCACUGAAAGAAACAGCUCAAGUGGAACAGCAUGGACCCGAGUAAUGAGUCACUGAGUUGUUUCGCCACUGUGAUCGAAUGCAUUUGGAAGAAUGUGUUUCCUACAAUACUUUUUCAAAGGGCCAUACCACCGCUACUGAAUCUACAGCGUGAAACAGUGUAGUCCAAUAUAGAAUGAACGACUCUGUCAGUAGGUUAGUUGUGUUUAGGUUUAUACUGUUUUACUUCAUUGUUGUAUGUCUGUAUUUAUGUAGCACCGUGGUCCUGUGAGGCACGACAUUUCGUUCCACUGUAUGUCCCCACAUGUAGCAGAAUGACAAUGAAGCUCAACUUGUCUUGACUUGACUUAUGAUAUGGUUCUUUUUAGUGAAUCAAACACACAUACAGCAAGACCAGUGUAGUCCAAAUCCUGAAUAAAUUACUCAUAUGAGCCUAUUUAUUUUAAUGG